rnacentral:tRNA from 1 species
GACUUCAUAGGAUAACCAGAACAUCCCCUGGCCUUAGGAGCCAACAAUCUUGGCGCAACUCCAAGUGAAAUCACCA